AUUGAACGCUGGCGGCAGGCCUAACACAUGCAAGUCGAACGAGUGGCGGACGGGUGAGUAAUGUCUGGGAAACUGCCUGAUGGAGGGGGAUAACUAAUGGAAACGGUAGCUAAUACCGCAUACCAUCAGAUGUGCCCAGAUGGGAUUAGCUUGUUGGUGGGGUAACGGCGCACCAAGGCGACGAUCCCUAGCUGGUCUGAGAGGAUGACCAGCCAAACUGGAACUGGGAAACGGGCCCGAAGCCUAAGGGAGGCAGCAGUGGGGAAUAUUGCAAAAUGGGCGCAAGCCUGAGGCAGGCAUGCCGCGUGUAUGAAGAAGGCCUUCGGGUUGUAAAGUACUUUAAGCGGGGAGGCGUUACCCGCAGAAGAAGCACCGGCUAACUCCGUGCCAGCAGCCGCGGUAAUAC
rnacentral:rRNA from 1 species